rnacentral:rRNA from 1 species
AGGACGAACGCUGGCGGCGUGCUUAACACAUGCAAGUCGAGCGGUAAGGCCUUUCGGGGUACACGAGCGGCGAACGGGUGAGUAACACGUGGGUGAUCUGCCCUGCACUCUGGGAUAAGCCUGGGAAACUGGGUCUAAUACCGGAUAUGACCUGCUCUCGCAUGGGGGGUGGGUGGAAAGAUUUUAUCGGUGCAGGAUGGGGCCCGCGGCCUAUCAGCUUGUUGGUGGGGUAAUGGCCUACCAAGGCGACGACGGGUAGCCGACCUGAGAGGGUGACCGGCCACACUGGGACUGGAGACCACGGCCCAGACUCCGUACGGGAGGCAGCAGUGGGAAUAUUGCACAAGUGGGCGAAAGCCUGAUGGCAGCGACGCCGCGUGAGGAUGAAGGCCUUGGGUAGUAAACCUCUUCAGCGAGGACGAAGCG